AUACCUUUCUCGGCCUUUUGGCUAAGAUCAAGUGUAGUAUCUGUUCUUAUCAGUUUAAUAUCUGAUAUGUGGACCAUGUGUCCACUUUGAUAUUAAAUUUAUUUUUUGUGGGGUAGGGCUCACCAUAGUGGCUUGCCACUAGAGCCCUUGAGUAUCGCUCAUGCGUUGCACUAUUGCUUGAGCUGGCACACCCCAA
rnacentral:snRNA from 2 species